UCUUGUUUUUCAAUUUCUCUUUCUCUCUUUUCUUCUUUUCUCUCUGUUUCUUUUGCUAUAAAUGCCAGGGCAUGGACGCUGAUUGUAACAGUCUUUGCUGAUGACUGUUAUGCAGCACUGUUCUUGCUAUUAUUGCCUUUCUCUCUCUCUCUCUCUCUCUCUCUCUCUCUGUCUCACACACACACACACACACACACACACGUUAUUAUAGUAUAUGACAGUAUUGUACUGAUGAUAGUUCACUCUAUCAUGUGUGGCACAUCAAGAAAUUAGAGAUACACACAACCACACACACACAUGCACACACACACACACACACACACACUUGCACACCCUCCAUCCUCCCCUCCCCUCCCUUCUCUCCGCGUGCCUGCUCGGGAUUCUGUGCCGAGUUCCUCUAAAGCCAGCGCGAGCUCCCUCCUCUCCUGUUGGAUCUGUGAUCGCUGCUUCGUGGAUCUUCUGGAUCUUUGCGUCUCUCAGAAAGGAUCCGGGUUGCCAGACUCUCUUCCAUUUGUGAUUCAGCCGCUGAGGCGUGCAGGAGUGGCUCCGCUUCACAAAGUGCAGCGUGUCUUCAUAGCUGGGCUUGAAACUAGGCGGGUGAGAAGACACUCUAAAGACACUAGGAGGACUGUAAAACAAGAGAGGAACAUGUUAGAAGUGUGGCAACCUCUGGCUGGUCUUCAGAUGUUGAAUCCCAGAGUGAAUCUGGGCUCUGAGCCAGGCCUGAAGAAGAAGUAGGAGAUUAAGCAAAAGGGGGAAAGAUUAAUUGCGGAAACGAAUUGAAGAAGAACUUUCUGUUGGAUCAAAAGCCUACCAUGUGGACUUCUAAUAGACUAAUACCUCCAAAUUCAGAGCCUUCCUUUGAACACAUCUCAUCUGACGGGCAAGGCACAGGAAUGUCUGUGAAGGAAGGAAACUAGGACAAACUUUCUUUUAGUCAGAGCAGAUCAGGAGAAGUUGUGUGGAGGAGAAAAGACUGAUAUGACAGUGUUGGAUGGCAGAGGAAGACCGCAGCCCUGUUUGUUGUGUUGCUCUCAUCUACAGACGGGGCUUUGAAGCCUCUCUAUCUGUGGGGUGCACACACACCUCAGAUCAGAGCGGCAGAAGAAGCUGAUUUCACGGAUCUGGCGGGGUGUGCGACGGCUGUCCCACUUUGGGACCGCGGGACCGUACCACUGCUUCCAAUAUGGAGUCUGCCAAUGGUGCUGGAGGAAUCUCCACUGCAGCAGUGGUAGCCAUUGUCUGCAAUGUGCUUGUGGCUGUUCUCAUUCUGGUUCUUUUCCUGAUCCUGUACAAGGCUUGCAAGGUGCCUUCCAGCCAAGAGACGGUGCCAGUGCUGGCGCCUUGUAGCCCACAGCAGAAGAACGAACAGAAGUACCUACUGACUACUUGAGUGCAACUGGCACUGCUGUUGAAUUUCAACAGGGGAAAAAAGCCAACUGGAAUGACAUGGAAGGGUGGGAAUGGGUUGCUGCAGAAGUGGUGGAAGAGAACCUGACAGAGAUCUUGCAGGGAACUUGCAGAGAACUUGCAAAGCCAUCUCAGCCAACAUGCUCAUGUGGGGCUUACAUGGGAAGGAAUGUGGGUUUGAUGGGUUCCAGGUGGGCAUGGGCUCUUAGUGGGUUUGUAUGUGUGUUGUUACUGGGCUUCCCAUUGUUACAGUCCAUCUUAAUCUUACUCAAGUCCCAUAUAGACCCAAUGUGCAGUGUACAGUACAACACAACCCAGAUGAUGCCCAUCUUUAACCCCUUCUGGUCCCAUCACUGACAUUAUUAAUAUCUGGGGAAACAUAGAACCUGUAGACAAAACCUUCUGGUCCAUACAUAGUCCUCACAUUGGCACGUUGUCUGAGAUGCCUUUUUGCAAUAGAAAUACCCAUGAAAGAAACAACAUUUUUGAGUCAAUGGCAGCACCCAUUGGUUGGUUUGUUCAUUUUGGACUAUGCAUCAUCAUCACCAUCAUCCCUGUGCCCUCACUGACCUCUAGAAGAUCUGUCGGAAGCUCUGAGAAGCUGGGCUUUCUUCAUGUCUUUGCUGCCAAUGAAGGCCUGAGUAAUGGGGGCUCCACAUGAGCUGCAUAAAACCCAAAAAGAGCAUGCGGGCUCAGCAUGGGCUGCCUGGAAUGGGUUUGUCUCUGAUGUCGGAGCGCUUUGAUAUAGUAGCACUCUGCUGUGAGUGGCUUAUAUAAAGGUAAAAAGACUCUCGUUGUCCUCUUCACGACGGUCCAGUCAUGCCUGCCAGAGUCGCAAUCAACCCACGCACUUCGCUGGGGCAGCACACCUUCAGAGAACCGACCGGCAAUCAAUACUGUGCUAAUAAUGAAGCUAACAGUUGGAGUUUGAAUAGGUGUGAGAGCUGCUCGGUAGUUCUUGUGCAUGAGUAAUGCAUUUUAAUAGCAAAUAAGUGUUUGUAGGGAUUUGUUCUCCCUCUUCCCGUCCAACUUUCUCUCUUUCUCAUUGCUUGCUAAUUCAAAGAGCCUGAGGAACCGGUAAACAGAUAUCUUCUCAUCUCAUUUGCAUCUCUUCCGGAGCGUAUCGGUCAGGAAAUGAGUCGUUUAGAUGUGAUGAAUGAUUUUAAUAAACACUUCAGAAGACAGAACUGGUCUGGGAAA
ensembl:lncRNA